UACGUAGGGUGCGAGCGUUAAUCGGAUUUACUGGGCGUAAAGCGUGCGCAGGCGGCCCGUUAAGACAGGUGUGAAAUCCCUGGGCUCAACCUAGGAAUUGCGCUUGUGACUGGCGGGCUCGAGUACGGUAGAGGGGGGUGGAAUUCCUGGUGUAGCAGUGAAAUGCGUAGAGAUCAGGAGGAACACCGAUGGCGAAGGCAGCCCCCCGGGCCUGUACUGACGCUCAUGCACGAAAGCGUGGGGAGCAAACAGG
rnacentral:rRNA from 1 species